rnacentral:rRNA from 1 species
AUUGAACGCUGGCGGCAUGCCUUACACAUGCAAGUCGAACGGCAGCACGGGGCAACCUGGUGGCGAGUGGCGAACGGGUGAGUAAUGCAUCGGAACGUACCUUUCAGUGGGGGAUAUCGUAGCGAAAGUUACGCUAAUACCGCAUAUUCUGUGAGCAGGAAAGCAGGGGAUCGCAAGACCUUGCGCUGAUUGAGCGGCCGAUGUCAGAUUAGCUAGUUGGUGAGGUAAAGGCUCACCAAGGCGACGAUCUGUAGCGGGUCUGCGAGGAUGAGCCGCCCCACUGGAACUGAGACACGGUCCAGACUCCUACGGGAGGCAGCAGUGGGGAAUUUUGGACAAUGGGGCAACCCUGAUCCAGCCAUGCCGCGUGAGUGAACAAGGCCUUCGGGUUGUAAAGCUCUUUCGGCCGGGAAGAAAUCGCACGGGCUAAUACCCUGUGUGGAUGACGGUACCGGAAUAAGAAGCACCGGCUAACUACGUGCCAGCCGCCGCCGUAACAC